AUUGAACGCUGGCGGCAUGCCUUACACAUGCAAGUCGAACGGCAGCACGGGAGCAAUCCUGGUGGCGAGUGGCGAACGGGUGAGUAAUAUAUCGGAACGUGCCCAGUCGUGGGGGAUAACGUAGCGAAAGCUACGCUAAUACCGCAUACGAUCUACGGAUGAAAGCGGGGGAUCGCAAGACCUCGCGCGAUUGGAGCGGCCGAUAUCAGAUUAGAUAGUUGGUGGGGUAAAGGCUCACCACGCCGACGAUAUGUAGCUGAUCUGAGAGGACGACCAGCCACACUGGGACUGAGACACGGCCCAGACUCCUCCGGGAGGCAGCAGUGGGGAAUUUUGGACAAUGGGCGCAAGCCUGAUCCAGCAAUGCCGCGUGCAGGAUGAAGGCCUUCGGUUUGUAAACUGCUUUUGUACGGAACGAAACGGCGAGCUCUAAUACAGUUUGCUAAUGACGGUACCGUAAGAAUAAGCACCGGCUAACUACGUGCCAGCAGCCGCCGUAA
rnacentral:rRNA from 1 species